rnacentral:rRNA from 1 species
CAAUAGCGUAUAUUAAAGUUGUUGCAGUUAAAAAGCUCGUAGUUGGAUUUCUGGUGGGAGCGAUCGGUCUGGCGCUUAGCGCGAGUACUUGCAUCGUCUCCGGCCAUCCUUGGGGAAAGUCUGCCUGGCAUUAAGUUGUCGGGCAGAGGAUCCUCAUCGUUUACUGUGAAAAAAUUAGAGUGUUCAAAGCAGGCUUAUGCCGUUGAAUAUAUUAGCAUGGAAUAAUAAGAUAGGACUUUGGUACUAUUUUGUUGGUUUGCGCACCAAAGUAAUGAUUAAUAGGGACAGUUGGGGGUAUUCGUAUUCCGUUGUCAGAGGUGAAAUUCUUGGAUUUACGGAAGACGAACUACUGCGAAAGCAUUUACCAAGGAUGUUUUCAUUAA